rnacentral:rRNA from 1 species
AACGAACGCUGGCGGCAUGCCUAACACAUGCAAGUCGAACGAAGCCUUCGGGCUUAGUGGCGCACGGGUGCGUAACGCGUGGGAAUCUGCCCUUUGGUUCGGAAUAACAGUUGGAAACGACUGCUAAUACCGGAUGAUGACGAAAGUCCAAAGAUUUAUCGCCAGAGGAUGAGCCCGCGUAGGAUUAGCUAGUUGGUGUGGUAAAGGCGCACCAAGGCGACGAUCCUUAGCUGGUCUGGGAGGAUGAUCAGCCACACUGGGACUGAGACACGGCCCAGACUCCUACGGGAGGCAGCAGUGGGGAAUAUUGGACAAUGGGCGAAAGCCUGAUCCAGCAAUGCCGCGUGAGUGAUGAAGGCCCUAGGGUUGUAAAGCUCUUUUACCCGGGAUGAUAAUGACAGUACCGGGAGAAUAAGCCUCGGCUAACUCCGUGCCAGCAGCCGCAGUAA